rnacentral:rRNA from 1 species
CCUACGGGUGGCAGCAGUGGGGAAUAUUGCACAAUGGGGAAACCCUGAUGCAGCGACGCCGCGUGAGCGAUGAAGGAUUUCGGUAUGGAAAGCCCUAUCAGCAGGGAAGAAAAAGACGGGAACUGACUAAGAAGCCCCGGCUAAUUACGGGCCAGCAGCCGCGGUAAUACGGAGGGGGCAAGCGUUAGCCGGAUUUACUGGGUGUAAAGGGAGCGUAGACGGGCCUGCAAGCCAGAUGUGAAAGCCCGGGGCUCAACCCCGGGACUGCAUUUGGAACUGUAAGGCUAGAGUGUCGGAGAGGCAGGCGGAAUUCCUAGUGUAGCGGUGAAAUGCGUAGAUAUUAGGAGGAACACCAGUGGCGAAGGCGGCCUGCUGGACGAUGACUGACGUUGAGGCUCGAAAGCGUGGGGAGCAAACAGGAUUAGAUACCCGAGUAGUC